rnacentral:rRNA from 1 species
GGUGAACGCUAGCUACAGGCUUAACACAUGCAAGUCGCGGGGCAGCAUGGGGGUUGCUUGCAAUCCCCGAUGGCGACCGGCGCACGGGUGAGUAACGCGUAUCCAACCUGCCCUUCACCACGGGAUAACCCGGCGAAAGUCGGACUAAUACCGUAUGUUGUCCAUUGACGGCAUCCGAAUUGGACGAAAGGGUUGGCGGUGAAGGAUGGGGAUGCGUCCGAUUAGCUGGACGGCGGGGUGACGGCCCACCGUGGCGACGAUCGGUAGGGGUUCUGAGAGGAAGGUCCCCCACACUGGAACUGAGACACGGUCCAGACUCCUACGGGAGGCAGCAGUGAGGAAUAUUGGUCAAUGGGCGUAAGCCUGAACCAGCCAAGUAGCGUGCAGGAUGACGGCCCUAUGGGUUGUAAACUGCUUUUAUGCGGGGAUAAAGUGGCCCACGUGUGGGUUUUUGCAGGUACCGCAUGAAUAAGGACCGGCUAAUUCCGUG